rnacentral:rRNA from 1 species
UACGGAGGGUGCGAGCGUUAAUCGGAAUUACUGGGCGUAAAGGGUGCGUAGGUGGUGAAAUAAGUUUUGUGUAAAAUUCCUGGGCUUAACCUGGGGUGGUCAUAGGAUACUGUUUCACUCGAGUGCGUGAGAGGGUAGUGGAAUUUCCGGUGUAGCGGUGAAAUGCGUAGAGAUCGGAAGGAACACCAGUGGCGAAGGCGGCUACCUGGCAUGACACUGACACUGAGGCACGAAAGCGUGGGGAGCAAACAGG